AAAAAGUAAUGGACGGAUUGCAAUGAAACUUUGUGGAAAGGUGGGUCUUGGGCUAACUUAGGAUCCAUUAAAUUUUGGUGAUGAUCCGGAUCACUGUCUGGAUCCAGGAAUUUUUUGAUUGUUGUUGGUGGCUGAUUUGAGCUGUAGUGGAGGUCUGCGCUUUCUGAAUGCCAAAUUUUAGUGCUAUGGAUUGAAAUGACAA